rnacentral:rRNA from 1 species
GACAGAGGAUGCAAACGUUGCUCGGAAUUACUGGGCGUAAAGCGCGCGCAGGCGGUCCUGUAAGUCGGGUGUGAAAUCCCGGGGCUCAACCCCGGAAGUGCACUCGAUACUGCAAGACUGGAGUACUGGAGAGGAGAGCGGAAUUCUCGGUGUAGAGGUGAAAUUCGUAGAUAUCGGGAGGAACACCAGCGGCGAAGGCGGCUCUCUGGACAGAUACUGACGCUGAGGCGCGAAAGCGUGGGAAGCAAACAGG